rnacentral:rRNA from 1 species
UACGAAGGGGGCUAGCGUUGUUCGGAAUUACUGGGCGUAAAGCGCACGUAGGCGGACAUUUAAGUCAGGGGUGAAAUCCCAGAGCUCAACUCUGGAACUGCCUUUGAUACUGGGUGUCUAGAGUAUGGAAGAGGUGAGUGGAAUUCCGAGUGUAGAGGUGAAAUUCGUAGAUAUUCGGAGGAACACCUAUGGCGAAGGCAGCUCGCUGGGACGUUACUGACGCUGAGACGCGAAAGCGUGGGGAGCAAACAGG